AGGAAGUCUGACGGCUUCCGUUGCACACCGGAUUCCCUUGCACACCGGGGCCCAGAGCCCAAGGCCAGCCAGGCAAAUGCCUGCCCCUGCCCCCGGCCCCGCCCCCUGCCCGGACUGUAGGACACCUAGGAGACACCACCGCCCAGGCCUGCCCACCGCCCAGGCCUGCCCACCGCCCAGGCCUGCCUGGGCAGACGGCGCGACGCCCCUAAGCAAUCUGAACACGCCAAGCUGCAGUGAAUCCAGGUACAGAAGUCUGGCUGCUCUUCGUGGGAUGUAAACACCCAGAAGAGGAAUUGCUGGAUCAUAAGGGAAAUAGUAGCCAAGAGAGAGGACGGCUCUCUUUCAAUUCCAAGAGUCCACACCAGAAAGAGGAAUUCCGCCUGUGGACUUGGAAGUUGGGGACACUUGCAUUGGGACCCCGACCCUCUCCCCCAACAGCAACACUGGAUUGAACUCUCAAGAUGGAAGAAAUUUGAAAACAAUAUUAAAAAAAAUUUUACAACAA